GAUUAAAUAAAUAAUUUAUUAAUUUUAAAAUUUUAUUAAAUUUUAAUUAAAAAAAUUUAAUUUUUAUUAUUAAUUAAGAAAAAAUAAUUUUUAUAAUAGUUUAUAGUAUCUAAAGAGAAAAUUUAAUUAAUUUUAAUAAAGAAAAAUUAAAAUUUUGUACCUUGUGCAUCAGGGCUGAUUAAAAAAAAAUUAAUUAUUUAAUAUUCUCGAAUUUAAAAGAGCUAAUUAGUUAUAUAUUUUAUUGUGAAAUAAAUAUUUAUAAUAAUUAAUUAGAAAUGAAACGUUAUUCGUUUUUAAAUAUAUCUAGUUUCUUAAUAAAUAAAUUUAAUUUAGUUAUUUUUAAAUAAAAUUUUAAAUUUUUAAUAUUUUAUUUAAAAAUAAGUAAUUUUUUGAGGGAUAAGCUUUAAAAAAUAAUUUUAAAAUUUAAUAAAUUUAAAAAUAAAUUAUAGGAUUAUAAAUUUCUAUUAAUUAAAAAAUGUAAUAAUUAAUUAUUUUAUAAAUAUAAUUUUUAUUAAAUUUUGAUUUUUUAUAAGAUUUAUUUUUUUAUUUAAAAAAGAUUUGUAAUAAUGAUUAAAUUAGUAUAAAUUAUUGUAAAAAUCAAUUAAUAACCAAAGGUUAAAUUAAGGAAUUCCGGCCAAUAUUUUUUCACCUGUUUAUUAAAAACAUGUCCUUUUGAUUAUAUUU
rnacentral:rRNA from 1 species